CGCUCAAAUCAGGACCCAGCUCCUUGAAAUCCCCAUUAACAUAGACAUUUUCUUGAACCUAGUGUUAAACAGUUGCAGUAAACGCCUCCCACCCAACUACCGUUGCAAUUAAGAAAAAAGAAUAUGCUUGACAUCCAUCAUCGUAUUCUCUCGUGUUACUUUGUUUUUUGCGUGUUUCAAGCUAAGGACGUUACCCUUCGUGCCUGCUACAUAUAUAUGCCAGUGGACACUAUAAUAUUACCAAUAAAUUAACGUCCUUGCAUAAUACUAAUAAAUUAUGAAUAAUACUGUAUUGUGAUGUUGUUCUUCCUCCAUGCUACAUUUGUUUAUCAUGUUGCAGUAAAAGUUGUUCAAUAAAAUUAAAGUCCUUUGUUCAAGAAGUGAUUCCAGGUUAUUCAAUUUCUUCUUAUUUUUGUUGCUCUUUUCCAAUUUCGUGUGUGUAUA
rnacentral:lncRNA from 1 species